rnacentral:sRNA from 1 species
AAUAAUUUUUUACUUUUUUGUUGAAUUUUAUAAAGUACCAGCAUUGUAGUAAAGAUAUUAUUAAUUGACUCAAUGUUUAUUGAACAAAAAGUUGGUAUUGAUUAUUUUAUCUACACUAGAAUAGUGAUCAAGUGAAAAUGGCGCGAAAUUGUAAAAACAGACCAGAGUAAAUUCAGAUUGCAAUAUCUUUUUAUCUAAGUCAUUGACAUAUGAGUUUCUCCUUUUCCAGUGAAAGCAUAACAUUUGUAUAUUUCGUUUAAGUUCAAAAAUAAAACUUCCAAUUAUAUCAAAACAGAUUUUUUGACCAUUUUGCAUUGAAGGUCAACACAAAAAGUAACAAAUUUGAACCAUGCAGAGGAAAUUCGGUCGCACAUUGUAUGAUACUGAGGAGGCUUUCAGAAUCUUUUUUUUAAUAAAUUGUUCUUCUGUCAAUGUAUUAUAAAUAGCAUAUAAGAAAAAUGAAAUAAAAUUACUAUAAACG